UCGAGCGGAUGACGGGAGCUUGCUCCUUGAUUCAGCGGCGGACGGGUGAGUAAUGCCUAGGAAUCUGCCUGGUAGUGGGGGACAACGUUUCGAAAGGAACGCUAAUACCGCAUACGUCCUACGGGAGAAAGCAGGGGACCUUUGGGCCUUGCGCUAUCAGAUGAGCCUAGGUCGGAUUAGCUAGUUGGUGGGGUAAUGGCUCACCAAGGCGACGAUCCGUAGCUGGUCUGAGAGGAUGAUCAGUCACACUGGAACUGAGACACGGUCCAGACUCCUACGGGAGGCAGCAGUGGGGAAUAUUGGACAAUGGGCGAAAGCCUGAUCCAACCACGCCGCGUGUGUGAAGAAGGUCUUCGGAUUGUAAAGCACUUUAAGUUGGGAGGAAGGGCAGUAAGUUAAUACCUUGCUGUUUUGACGUUACCGACAGAAUAAGCACCGGCUAACUCUGUG
rnacentral:rRNA from 1 species